UUGAUGUUACUAGGUUGGUGCAAAAGUAAUUGCAGCUUUUGCCAUUAAAAGUAAUGGCAAAACCUAAUAUAUAUAUUUAGCACCAACCUAAUAUAU
rnacentral:miRNA from 1 species